CUGUGACAUACCACUUGUUGCCUCGGCGGAUCACCCGCUCCCAGGUAAAACGGGACGGCCCGCCGGAGGACCCCUAAACUCUGUUUCUAUAUGUAACUUCUGAGUAAAACCAUAAAUAAAUCAAAACUUUCAACAACGGAUCUCUUGGUUCUGGCAUCGAUGAAGAACGCAGCACGCAGCAAAGGAUCUUUUGAUUACUGUCUGUCAAGUUGCUCGGUAUUAUCACAUCCAUAAACCUGUGCAAUUGUCCGAGGCU
rnacentral:misc_RNA from 1 species